UACUCCUACGGGAGGCAGCAGUGGGGAAUAUUGCACAAUGGGGGAAACCCUGAUGCAGCGACGCCGCGUGAGUGAAGAAGUGUUUCGGCACGUAAAGCUCUAUCAGCAGGGAAGAAAAUGACGGUACCUGACUAAGAAGCUCCGGCUAAAUACGUGCCAGCAGCCGCGGUAAU
rnacentral:rRNA from 1 species